rnacentral:rRNA from 1 species
GAUGAACGCUGGCGGCGUGCCUAAUACAUGCAGGUCGAGCGAACGGACGAGAAGCUUGCUUCUCUGAUGUUAGCGGCGGACGGGUGAGUAACACGUGGAUAACCUACCUAUAAGACUGGGAUAACUUCGGGAAACCGGAGCUAAUACCGGAUAAUAUUUUGAACCGCAUGGUUCAAAAGUGAAAGACGGUCUUGCUGUCACUUAUAGAUGGAUCCGCGCUGCAUUAGCUAGUUGGUAAGGUAACGGCUUACCAAGGCAACGAUGCAUAGCCGACCUGAGAGGGUGAUCGGCCACACUGGAACUGAGACACGGCCCAGACUCCUACGGGAGGCAGCAGUAGGGAAUCUUCCGCAAUGGGCGAAAGACUGACGGAGCAACGCCGCGUGAGUGAUGAAGGUCUUCGGAUCGUAAAACUCUGUUAUUAGGGAAGAACAUAUGUGUAAGUAACUGUGCACAUCUUGACGGUACCUAAUCAGAAAGCCACGGCUAACUACGUGC